CAUAACUUCCUAUGUAUGAUUGUUGACUCGUCCUACGUUCCCCACACGAUUGUGCGUUAAGGAUAUGGAAAUAAGAGGAUGGGGCGAUACAUCUAGGGUAGAGGAAAUUGAACCAAAUGAAGGGCACUUGAACUAAUAAAAGGGCAACUAAAAAAGGACAAAAUACUGGGCAUAUGUCACUCUCCCUACGCCUACGCCUGG
rnacentral:lncRNA from 1 species